rnacentral:lncRNA from 1 species
UUUAUACAUGGGCUGCAAUGGAACAGAAGUUACGACCUCAUAUGUGAAUGUCUAGGAUUUGUUUUUUCCUUCCACCAGCCCACCUGGAAUGACUUUAGCUUUCAGCUUUACCUCAGGCUGUACCCAGGUUAGCUUCUAGUGACUUAUGACUCCAUCAAUCUGCACAGAUAUGUGCUGUGCUCCUUCAAGGGAAGCUGUUCAUCUUCUAUAUGACUGCAUCUCCACCUCUUCCAAAGUUCAAAGAACCCAGGACAAUUGCUUAUUCGGACGGGCUUCCAGUCUGUGGUUUAAGAAGUUACCUAGUCUUCUCCUGCUCAUGCUCCACUAAUGAUAGUUACCAGAAAACGUUGUAAUGUUGAUACUACUUGGGAAGGCUUUGACUGUCCAGCAUCCGUACUGACAGCAUUAAUUAAAGAAAUUCUGAGCCAGUAAAACAGGGUAAGACACCAAUGUGAGAAAAACCUACAGCCAACACAUCCCCAAACCCAGAGUUAGGUUUUGUUUAAUGUAGAAGACAAAAGUCAUGGAAAGAAGGUUAUUCAACUGCUGGUAGCCAAAUGUCCAGUGGUAGGUCUUAAACCUAGUGAUUCAGAGCUUAACAGUGAAGAAGUCUUUUUCUUUACACUAUCCAGAAGGAUGAAUGAUGGUUUCCAAUUGAAUACUUCUAAAAUUAGAUCUGACUAGUACUUGGUGGGAAAGUUCACCUCACCUAAUGGAUCAUUUUUAGGCCAAACGCAGCUUUCAUUGAAGGCAAUGAAAAUGCUUUCAUUGACUUCAACAGAUUUUGAUUUGGGUCUCUAUCAAGUAAGCUACAUGUACGUUCUGGAGAAUCAAGGAAAAAAACAUUUAUAUGGUAAUUUGUAGUGGUUUUGAAGUUCUUUUAGGGAUUACAAAAAUAAGCUAAAUUUUUUGUUCAAACCUGAGAUUUUAUACCCUAUUAGUCAAUAACAUGGACUGAAACUUUUCAUACUGUCCAAAAAAUACUAGAUACAUUUAAAAAUAGCUCCUGAGGAAGGAGAGCCACCUACCAUUUCCACUGUUUUUCAGCUGCACAAAGUGUUACUAUACUGCUUUAGUGAUGACUAUUUUUACUCUUUCUUUACAAAGCCUGCAUUGGAAGGUGCAAUAAUCCCCUAACCUCAAUGCAAAUCUCAGAGGGUUGAAGGCUGGCAUGGAGGAUGCCAAUCCAGGUGUGGUGCUUUCUGCAGAGCACGGUAGAAGUUAUGGAUGAGUUAUAGGGUGGCAGAAGCACACACAUUGCAUGGCCAACUUGCAGCUAAAAAUGGCUUAAUAUCAAAACACAGCAUUUUACAAGCAGGCAGUUAAUCCUUCA